rnacentral:rRNA from 1 species
AUAGAGACUCAGAGCUGCAUAUCAAUAAGCGGAGGAAAAGAAACUAACAAGGAUUCCCUUAGUAACGGCGAGUGAAGCGGGAAGAGCUCAAAUUUGAAAUCUUCAAGGGUUCUACCUUUACGAAUUGUAGUUUGAUAGAAGUGUUUUCUGUUAGUGGAGUGGCUAAAAGUUCUUUGGAAUAGGACAUCAUAGAGGGUGAGAAUCCCGUAUUUGGUCAUUCCUUCUAGCUGUGUGAUACACUUUCAAAGAGUCGGAUUGUUUGGGAAUGCAGUCCAAAAUGGGUGGUAAAUUACAUCUAAAGCUAAAUAUUGGCGAGAGACCGAUAGCGAACAAGUACCGUGAGGGAAAGAUGAAAAGAACUUUGAAAAGAGAGUUAAACAGUACGUGAAAUUGUCAAAAGGGAAGCGUUUGACACCAGUGUUGUUUUUCCGAAAAUCAAUUACUGAAUGGUUUGAUUUUGAGAAGUUAUGACUUCAUCGGCUUGCUUCUUUCUUUACGAAACUUUCUUAAUGCACUUUUCGGUUAACAAGUCAACAUCAAUUUCUUUUGUUGUAAAAGGGUAUGAGGAAGGUGGCUUUCUUUUCGGAGAAAGUGUUUAUAGCCUUGUGCCUCUGCAAUCGGAGAGAUUGAGGUCUGCAGCGUAGAUCCUUCGGGGUUAGAUACGUUUGUGCUAAGUUAUAGCUUUUCAUAGACAACUUGUUGACUAUGUUUAGUCUUGUAGCUUACUCGCUUACGCUAUUUUACCUACGCUUAGGAUGUUGAAGAUAUGCGCGACACG